rnacentral:sRNA from 1 species
GCACUGCGAGGCGGGCCGCAGGGAGGGAGGCGCGAAGAGGGCGCGAGGGUAGCAGCCAGAGGGAGCCGCCAGCCCUGCCUGCGGAUCCCCGCGGGGCGCAUGGGGCGCUUCGAGCCGGGACUGCAUACGGGCCCCGAGGCCAGUUUCCUGCUGUCGUAAGAAGCCGCUCCAGGACGACCCCCGGACCCCGAGCUGCUGGGAGGAUGACCAUGGCUGGGGGCAGGAGGGGACUGGUGGCCCCUCAAAACACGUUUCUGGAGAAUAUUGUCCGGCGGUCCAAUGAUACUAAUUUUGUGUUGGGGAAUGCUCAGAUAGUGGACUGGCCUAUUGUGUACAGCAAUGAUGGAUUUUGCAAGCUGUCUGGCUAUCACAGGGCAGAAGUGAUGCAAAAAAGCAGCACCUGCAGUUUUAUGUAUGGGGAGCUGACUGAUAAAGACACGAUUGAAAAAGUGCGGCAAACAUUUGAGAACUAUGAGAUGAAUUCUUUUGAAAUUCUUAUGUACAAGAAGAACAGGACACCUGUGUGGUUCUUUGUGAAAAUUGCUCCAAUUCGAAACGAACAGGAUAAAGUGGUUUUAUUUCUUUGCACUUUCAGUGACAUAACAGCUUUCAAACAGCCAAUUGAGGAUGAUUCAUGUAAAGGCUGGGGGAAGUUUGCUCGGCUGACAAGAGCACUGACAAGCAGCAGGGGUGUCCUGCAGCAGCUGGCUCCAAGCGUGCAAAAAGGCGAGAAUGUCCACAAGCACUCCCGCCUGGCAGAGGUCCUACAGCUGGGCUCAGACAUCCUUCCCCAGUACAAGCAAGAGGCACCAAAGACUCCCCCUCACAUCAUCUUACAUUAUUGUGUUUUUAAGACCACGUGGGAUUGGAUCAUCUUGAUCUUGACCUUCUAUACAGCCAUCUUGGUCCCUUAUAAUGUCUCCUUCAAAACCAGGCAGAACAAUGUGGCCUGGCUGGUUGUAGAUAGCAUCGUGGAUGUUAUCUUUUUGGUGGACAUUGUGCUCAAUUUUCAUACCACCUUUGUUGGACCAGCAGGGGAGGUGAUUUCUGACCCCAAACUUAUCCGCAUGAACUACCUGAAGACGUGGUUUGUGAUUGACCUUCUGUCCUGUUUGCCAUAUGAUGUCAUCAACGCUUUUGAGAACGUGGAUGAGGUUAGUGCCUUUAUGGGUGAUCCAGGGAAGAUUGGUUUUGCUGAUCAGAUUCCACCACCACUGGAGGGGAGAGAGAGUCAGGGCAUCAGCAGCCUGUUCAGCUCUCUAAAAGUUGUCCGGCUGCUCCGUCUUGGGCGAGUGGCCCGUAAGCUGGACCACUACAUUGAAUAUGGAGCUGCUGUGCUGGUCCUGCUGGUGUGUGUGUUUGGGCUGGCGGCACACUGGAUGGCCUGCAUCUGGUACAGCAUUGGGGACUAUGAGAUCUUUGACGAGGACACCAAGACAAUCCGCAACAACAGCUGGCUGUACCAACUAGCGAUGGACAUUGGCACCCCUUACCAGUUUAAUGGGUCUGGCUCAGGGAAGUGGGAAGGUGGUCCCAGCAAGAAUUCUGUCUACAUCUCCUCGUUGUAUUUCACAAUGACCAGCCUCACCAGUGUGGGCUUUGGGAACAUCGCCCCAUCCACAGACAUUGAGAAGAUCUUUGCAGUGGCCAUCAUGAUGAUUGGCUGUAAGUAUGACAGUGCUGGGGUGGGGGUGGCCAUCUCUUCUGUUAGCUGGAAAUAGGGAAAUGGCUACCGUGCCAGCAGGAUCAGGAGAAUAAUAACUUAAAACAAGGAAGAGAUUUUUUUUAAGACUAGGCUUACAGUUACCCUGAUAAUUAAAGCAGUAUAUGCUUACUGCAAAAAAAUUUAGAAAAUACAAAAGAGUGCAAAGUAGAAAGUAAAGACUAUCCAUAAUUCUGCUUCUCAGAGAUAACUAAUACUGUUGGUGUCUUCCCUUACAGACUAUUUUCUUUGCAUAUCUGAAUCCAUAUAGAUUUUUAUAAACUUAAAAUGAGACCUUGCUGCAUACGCACUUUGGUAAACUAUUCAUAGAACAGUGAAUUAUGGAAGUCUUUUCAUGUCAAUUUUUUUCUUUUUAAUAAAAAUUGUGUAUAUUUAAAGUAUGCAAUGAGAUGUUUUGAUAUAGUGAAAUGAUUAUGACAGCAAAGCAAAUUAACAUAUCCAUUCCUUUACAUCAUUACCUUUAUUUUUGGUGAAAGCACUUGAAAUCUGCUCUCAGCAAAUUUCCUGUAGGCAUUACAGUAUUAUUAACUAUAGCCAUCAUGCUACAUGUCAAUUUGAACAUAGCUGUAGAUUCACAUAGUCUAAUAUAGUAUGAGAAAAAGAAUGUAUGAAAAAUGAAUGCAAAACAUCUCAUUAAUUAUAUUUUAUAUUGAUUAUAUAUUGAAAU